CCCCACGCGGCCGGACCGGUCACUCAUUGUCCCACUUUGCAGAUUGCCAAAAAUAAAACAGUGAAGACGUGACGAACCGUUAACGUGACCUGGACCAAGUCCCAAAUUGCGUACGCAAAAUUGUCUUAACAAUUGACACCUUUGUGGAAAGGGAGGACAGGCCCACAUGGGAUGUAUUCCAAGUUCUUAUUUUUUUUUAAUUACCAUACCAAGAACAGCACAAUGUUAUAAUUAUCUACGUGUAUGCUAAUUAUGUCAAUUGUGAUAAAUGAACAGUACAUUGGUUCUCCUGUGGCACUUGACAGUGAAAAUGAAUAAUGGAUAUUCGUACUGUGAUUAGUGAUCUUACUACUUCGUAGCUAUAAAACGAGAAAGUCACAAAGUUCCUCAUUCUCACGACUAAAUUCCUCCUAAUAGUUUGGCGGGAACCUCAUGUAAGCUUCGAGAAACAAAUGACGGGCGUUAGUGUAUAUUCUCUGUAUCAUUAUUCCAUGAAUUUAAAAAAAUGGUUUUCAAAUGUUCAUCGUUUCUAGCGUUGCAUUUCGAGCACUGCUUUUUUAAAUAGGCAAUUUAUUUACAUGGAAUAAUGCAUCAUGGUUUGCACAACAAUGUUCAUUUUUUAAAAACGCGUAAUGUUAGCUGGAAAGUGAAACCACAAUGAAAAGCUUGUGGUUUAAGAUACUAAUGAGCCCUAUACUUAAAAGUCAUCAAAGUAGUGCCAAUAUCAAUCCCGUUCAACCUUACAGACAUCAUAGAUUACCAAAUGCACACUCAGCUUAAUUCGGCGUGUGCUGAAUGUUAGUGCUCUCCAUUCAAGAAUUUGCAUAUUCUAAUUAGUUGAAACAACUAUUCAUCAAAAGGCCCAAAGCGACACGGGUCGUUAGCCUCGUUUCGUGCCAUCCCACCGUGGCAAAGACAAACAACGACGACGUCGUUCCCGGCGAUAAAUUCUGCACGAAAUUUUUUUUUUUUUUUACCCACUAUGAUGCAAGGAAGGCAGCCUUCAGACAGCAGAAUCCAACGUCGUCAUCAAUCGCCAUUUGCAAAAUAUUGAAAUGCCAGAUUUUUUGCAGCUAAUGCCCAACAAAAGAGUUUAUUUUUGAAAACAUUUGAAAACUAAAAGAAAAUAAUGUUUCAUCCAAGAAAACGCCCCCAACGAUUCAACUGCCCUCUUUAGGGGAAAAUAAAUCAGUCAAAUGCAACGGUUCUCAUCGUUCACACGACGCUAAACUGCCUAAACGCCUCUUGCCGUACAAUGUUGGAGCAAGUCAGCCGAUUCAAAAGUUUUCCAAUGAUUUAACACCACGUGGCAAUCAAUUUGCCCAGAGACAUCCAUUUUUUUUUUCUUCCCAGGGAAUCUGUUGUUGGCGGCUGUAAUUCAAUACGCAUCUGCGGAGCAGUCAUCAGCAGAAAACAAGGCCCUCUACACACAUGGUAUAGCUCUACAUAUAACGGUUAGAUAUCCCUAUAUACAUUUGUGCAUAUACUAAUAAGAAAUUCUAUGUACGGAAUGGUCUAUUAGCUCUGGUUGCCAAGCCAUGCCAGAAAAAGUGUGUUUCUUUCUUUUUCUCCCUCUAGUUACUUUUGUACCAAUUUGGUCUGAACUGGAAUAAAAGAAGAAGGAAAAAGAAAUCUACAGUCAACAGCAGGAGGAGUUUGAGAUUGAAGAUGUAGUCUAUACCAUCAGUCUUUGUCGCCAUUUUGUAAUAGCUCCCGACAGUCCUCUUUUGUGUUCUUAACUGAAUGGGGCAGACUGUCUCAUCCGCCAUUGUUUUCUUGGCUACAACUGGACUCGUCUAUAACCUCCUUUUUUUUACAGUUGAAUGGUUCAACUCGACAAGUCUAUUUAUUGAUGCAAUUAUCGAUAUGAGCGCCGCUUGCCAUUCUGCCUUUCUCUGUUUAGUCUAUUGCGUGUAAGUUCUCUACUUCUCCGCUGCCAGAAUGCAUUGAAUUGGGCCAACGAAUCUGCUCGUGAUUUAUCGACGGCGACAAUAAUCAGACGACACUGGCCUGCGCGUAUAUUUCCAUUCCAAAGUGGCCAGCAAGAACCAUUAACGCCGUCGGGCUCUAAAAUUUGCAUGUGGCGAACUGAGUAUAUAUUUAAUGUCGCCACUCGGAACGCUCCACCUUCGAGUAUAAUCCAGCUCCAUCCGCAAAAACAGCCGUUGGGCGAAAGGUCCAUUUACAGUCUAAAAGCGUCCUCGAGGAAUUUUCGUUUCUAAACGCAUCAUAAAUGGCUGCUCGAUGUUUAUAUCUUUGAUAAGCUUCGUUUGAAGCCUUUUGUUUUCACGAUGACUCUCACGUUCUCCUGCCUAGAGGUUUUCGUCACCAUUAUCGGCCCAAGCACGUCGACGUGUUAUUUAUUAUUCAUUACUAUUAUAUAUAAAAAGGAUUAUAGAUCCCUCGUGGUUGUCUGCAAAGAAGACGUAGCCCCCAUCAAUCAUGGCUUGAUAUUAUAAAAAUAAAAAAGAGUACAAAGGGGAGAACAAUGUCAAACGACCUGCGCCGUUAUGUCAUUGUGUAAUGGUCUUCGUUUGUCGCCACGCACGGACGUGACGUCAUGCAAACAUUUAAAACACAUUGUAACCUGUGCUGUUUUAUAUCCGAACAUUUAAAAAAAAGAAUCGUGAAUUGCGCAUCAGAUCGAACUAACAAAAAAUUUUACCUUGUCAAGUUAUCGCACAAAUUUCACUAAUGUCAAGAUUUACAUGUCGUCAGGUAUGCAUAAUUUCGUGUCUUCCCUGAUCUAAUUUGCAAUUCAAGUGUCCUACAUCUCAACUGUUGAAAAUUCGAGUUGAUAGAGAAAAGCGAACGUAACUCUAUCAGCGCCCUGCACGCCAUCUCUAGGAUCUGCAAAGAAUAUCCAAUUCAAGAUUAUCGGGUGCAUAAUGCGUGUAUAAACUGACGCCUUUCGGUGUCUUUCGAAAACAAAAAGAUAAAAAAAAAUAUAUAUUUAUUCCUUUUUCUUUAUAAAUAUAAUAGCCUUUAUAUAUAA